AUUGCAAUGAACAAGGGCGUAUGGCGGAUGCCUCGACACCAAAAGACGAUGAAGGACGUAGGAGCCUGCGAUAAGCCUCGGGGAGGUGGCAACCAACCUCUGAUCCGGGGAUGUCCGAAUGGGGAAACCCGUCUGUGUAUAAAAUCACAGUCAUCUAUAUCUGAAAUAACAUAGGAUAUAAGAAGUGUACCCGGCGAAUUGAAACAUCUUAGUAGCCGGAGGAAAAUAAAACAAUUGUCUCUGUUAAAACUUCGAACAUAAGUACAGGCUUUGCUUGUACCUCGGAGUUUUUUCAAAGGCGCAUUCCCUUAGUAGUGGCGAGCGAAACGGGAACAGCCUAAAGUCUUAUUACGUAACCAUAUACCUAUUUAUAGGUAUGCGGGGGAGAAGCGCAAGCUGCUGCAAUAAGGUCGUUGUGAGAGAAUUAUAAUUGAUAACUUGCGAAUAUCGAGCAGAAAGCUCUAACGGGAUUCCUACAACCACGUUUAUGCUUGAAGAAAAGGCAUAAGCGCGGAAAAGGGAUUCUUACAUUUUUAGCUGAAGGCUCUGGAAAGAGCCGCCAAAGAGGGCGAUAGCCCCGUAAGCGAAAAAAAUGUAAGCUCUGCAUAAUUCUUCUCAAGUACCAUGGAACACGUGAAAUUCUAUGGGAAUCCGGGACGACUAUUGUCCCAAGGCUAAAUACUUUUGGUGAUCGAUAGUGAACAAGUACCGUGAGGGAAAGGUGAAAAGCACCCCGGUGAGGGGGAUGAAAUAGUAUCUGAAACCAUAUGCCUACA
rnacentral:rRNA from 1 species